GGCAGAUUCAGAUCAUUUAAACAUUCAAUAUUAAUAUCACCACAAACUCAAGAUAAGCAGAUGAUCCUGAAGAAGCUUUGACUGUGGGUAUGGCACCUCAGACGUGAGGGCUGCAGGGUAAAGAGUAUGUUUGUUUCUCUUUAGUUUCACGAGGUCCCCUUUUGGGGUAUUCGGCUUUCCAUCGAUGGCAGGUGGUCAGGCAUUAUUAUGGCCAUCAAAACACCCACUUGUUGAUAUUUAUUUAUUUAUUUUCAACAAGUAUCUUUGUUCUCUAAGAAUGGAGUUUCAAAAAGGGUUGUCAAGAUCAAUGUUACUUCACAUGAUGCAGAGGCAGGCUUGAUUCUGGAAUGAUGAAUCCACGGGGUGAUCGCUGUAACUUUCACAGUGCACUACUCAGCAUGUGGUCUUGGUUAUCACUUUGGUGGCUGGAUAGGCCUCUGGCCAUCCUGAAAACAUGUCUGCUAUAAUUAGUGCAUAUUUGAAUCAACAAUUCUUUGGCAUUCUG